rnacentral:rRNA from 1 species
GACGAACGCUGGCGGCGUGCUUAACACAUGCAAGUCGAACGGAAAGGCCCUGCUUUUGUGGGGUGCUCGAGUGGCGAACGGGUGAGUAACACGUGAGUAACCUGCCCUUGACUUUGGGAUAACUUCAGGAAACUGGGGCUAAUACCGGAUAGGAGCUCCUGCUGCAUGGUGGGGGUUGGAAAGUUUCGGCGGUUGGGGAUGGACUCGCGGCUUAUCAGCUUGUUGGUGGGGUAGUGGCUUACCAAGGCUUUGACGGGUAGCCGGCCUGAGAGGGUGACCGGCCACAUUGGGACUGAGAUACGGCCCAGACUCCUACGGGAGGCAGCAGUGGGGAAUAUUGCACAAUGGGCGGAAGCCUGAUGCAGCAACGCCGCGUGCGGGAUGACGGCAUUCGGGUUGUAAACCGCUUUCGCCUGCGACGAAGCGUGAGUGACGGUAAUGGGUAAAGAAGCACCGGCUAACUACGUG